GGGAAUUGAACUCAGGACCUCUGGAAGAGCAGCCAGUACUUUUAACCACUGAGCCAUCUCUUCAGCCUGGUACAGCAUUUCUUUAUGACAUCUGUGUCUUCGUUUGAGAACAGCUGCUGUCACUGAGUCAGCUUUUCCAUAUAGGUUCCCAUCACACUUGGGAGACAGUCCCCAGCUGGAACAUGAGUCACACCAGAAGAUAUGAUCGAGGGAGCUUUGAGAGGGUCAGAGAACCUGCCUAGCCCACACACUGCAGAGCUAAAUAUGGCCAGCAGUGGCCUCUGUUCGUGGUGCAUUUUCUUAAUUAGUGCUUGAUGUGGGAGAACUCAGACCAUUAUGGGCAGUGCCAUCCCCGGAAAGGUGGUCCUGGGUUCUAUAAGAAAGCAGGCUGAGCAAGCCAUGGAGAGCCAGC